UACGUAGGGGGCAAGCGUUAUCCGGAUUUACUGGGUGUAAAGGGGGCGCAGACGGCGAUGCAAGCCAGGAGUGAAAGCCCGGGGCCCAACCCCGGGACUGCUCUUGGAACUGCGUGGCUGGAGUGCAGGAGGGGCAGGCGGAAUUCCUGGUGUAGCGGUGAAAUGCGUAGAUAUCAGGGGAACACCGGUGGCGAAGGCGGCCUGCUGGACUGCAACUGACGUUGAGGCCCGAAAGCGUGGGGAGCAAACAGG
rnacentral:rRNA from 1 species